rnacentral:rRNA from 1 species
CGAAGGGGGCUUAGCGUUGCUCGGAAUUACUGGGCGUAAAGGGCGCGUAGGCGGACAGUUUAGUCAGAGGUGAAAGCCCAGGGCUCAACCUUGGAAUUGCCUUCGAUACUGGCUGUCUUGAGUUCGGGAGAGGUGAGUGGAAUGCCGAGUGUUAGAGGUGAAAUUCGUAGAUAUUCGGCGGAACACCAGUGGCGAAGGCGACUCACUGGCCCGAUACUGACGCUGAGGCGCGAAAGCGUGGGGAGCAAACAGGAUUAGAUACCCUGGUAGUCCACGCUGUAAACGAUGAGUGCUAGUUGUCGGCAUGCAUGCAUGUCGGUGACGCAGCUAACGCAUUAAGCACUCCGCCUGGGGAGUACGGUCGCAAGAUUA